rnacentral:rRNA from 1 species
GACGAACGCUGGCGGCGUGCCUAAUACAUGCAAGUCGAGCGGACGAUUCGAAAGCUUGCUUUUGAAUCGUUAGCGGCGGACGGGUGAGUAACACGUGGGCAACCUGCCCUGUAGACGGGGAUAACACCGAGAAAUCGGUGCUAAUACCGGAUAACACGAAAUGUCGCAUGACGUUUCGUUGAAAGGCGGCGCAAGCUGCCGCUACAGGAUGGGCCCGCGGCGCAUUAGCUAGUUGGUGUGGUAACGGCUCACCAAGGCGACGAUGCGUAGCCGACCUGAGAGGGUGAUCGGCCACACUGGGACUGAGACACGGCCCAGACUCCUACGGGAGGCAGCAGUAGGGAAUCUUCCGCAAUGGACGAAAGUCUGACGGAGCAACGCCGCGUGAGCGAAGAAGGCCUUCGGGUCGUAAAGCUCUGUUGUUAGGGAAGAACAAGUAACGUAGUAACUGACGUUACUAUGACGGUACCUAACGAGAAAGCCACGGCUAACUACGUG